ensembl:lncRNA
GUCCUUAUCUGUAGGGACUUGUGCGUACAUGUGGCAGUGGUUCAGAGUUCUGUUCUGUGAGACCUUCUGUGUGCCCAGUUUAAGGGAGGUGGUGAAGGCUGCUGCUGGGCUGCUGUACUAAUGUAAGCUUCUGGGAGCAGUGUGAAUGUCGGAAAGGUACAGUCAAUCUUAGCCAGGGGCAAGGUAAGACUGGCUCCACCUUUUUGGUUGGGCUCCAGGAAGAUGAAACACAUCACCACCAGCACAGAUCAGACUCCUAUUUAUGACUAACUUGGCAGCAAUUUCAAAGGAAGAAAGGAGCAGAGUCCAUUAUCAUCAAGGCAUCUCUGCAUUUGGCCCUUCUGCCCCUGAAAUGUGUCAUCUGCUGUAAAUGAAGAAAAAAUUUCAGAUGCCACUCUGGAACCCCAGCCUGGAAACUAAGGGGUUAGGGACUUGAAACUUCUCAACCCAAAGUGCCAAUGUUGGCUCCUGUCACCAGCUGAGAGCAGGGGAACGUCAGCCCACUGUCAUGUUUGCAAAGGCUCAAGUUUUCUUACCUAUAAAUUGAAGACAGUAAAUCAUCUAUCUUUCAAAUUUGGUAUAUGGACUAAAAGAGCAACACAUAUACAGUGCUCCAUGGGAUCGAAUUCAGGACUUUGCACUUGAAAAGGAGGGGUGGCACCACUGAGCUAAAUCCCUGGCCCAGGUCCUAUUGAAUAUUAACCUCAAGAAAUUUUAUUUUCCAACAUGCUAAGUUUUUUUUUCUUUAGUUUAUAU